GUUAGACUUAAAUGACCAAAAUACCCAUCUAUAUAUAUAUAUGGUUGUUGCGUGUUUUUCACAGAUCCUCCCACACGCGCUCUCUCUCUCUCUCUUCAUCUUCUGUCACUCUCUCACCUCAAACCCUUCUCCAUCUCAAAUCCUUCAACGCUCCGACUACUUCAACGGCGUCGCUGGCUUCGGCGUCAGCGGCAUCCUCGCAGCGUCGUCUUCUUCACCGACGUCGUCUUCCUCAUCUCCAUCUGCCGCCGUACCUCUCUCAAAUCUAUGGAGCUUGAGAAUGCCAUCACAGAUCCACGAGUGCUUGUUCUCAAUCUUAGAUCUGUAGUCUUUGAUCUCCGACCUCGGAUCUGAGUUUAAGCACUAUGACUCCGCCGUCACCCGAAUCAACAACGGCUAGUCGUCGGAGUCGCUGGAGUUGUCCCUUCUGCCUUAAAUCGCCUCAGAUCGUCCUUCGCUAUCGUCUCCUUCAGAUCGCAGCUGUCUCCCUCAGAUCGCUGCUUCAUCCUAAACUUCCUUCUUGCUCUUUGUAGAUCCGCCGCUGACUGACCACCACCUUCUCUUUCUCUCUCCUAAACGCCCAUCGCACCAGACAUUAUUAUUGAUCCAGUGUUGCUUUGCGUCGUGGAUUCAACAUUGGACAAGAAAAUUCUGAUGUGAAGUUGGUAGUAGCAGGGCCACAUAGGGAUUGGUUCAAUUUGGUUCAAUUCGGAUAUAGAUUCGCUAGGGAACGAAGUCCAUAGUUGCGAACCACAUACUUCUGAAGGAAAAUGUUUUUGAAGCCAACAGAUUCAAAGCUGUCAUUCCGUUUUCCUGACGUUUGUCAGCAAGAUUAGGGUAUGACUCCAAUAUGCUCAUAGCCAAAUCUGAUUGAUAAAAUAUCAAAGUCAUUAGCUUGUUCAACGUAGCGAAAAUCAAACAUACACAAUCAAACUCUAUAUUAUAUUACCAACAAAACGCUUAUACUCAAAUAAAUAUAAAUAAUACAAAUUUACUGUAAAAUUCUCCGUUCACGGCAGCAUGGAGAACAGUGCGGCCAUCUCCGGUCCUCAAUCUCAGCUGAUCGUCAUUUAUUUUUGUUUUGAGAAAAUUGAAAACGUCCUCCCUUCCAAAUGCAGCAGCAAGGUGAAUGGGCGUCUCUCCUAAUUCAUUGCGCGCAAGAAUUAGGUUUAGAUCUCCUCCAUCUCCUUCCUUUUUGAGCAUUAUUUCUGCGAUUUCCUUGUGACCAAAUCUCGCAGCUUCAUGCAGAGCAAUUUCGCCAUUGACAUUACAUUUCUUGAGGUGUUCAGUGGAAAGCAGGCCCCGCUUAUCAAGCUCUCUAAUGGCAACCGUGUUGCCAUGGACGCAGAGGAUAUGGAGGACAGUGUUGCCGCGUUCGUCUAUUGGUGUCGAGCCUUCAUUUUCUCUAUAGAAAUUGCAGAAGAUUUGACGUGAAACUGGUUUCUUCUCUGAUGCUGCUUUGUAAACAUCACAGCGGCUAACCAUUUUCACAACUGUAUUGUAUACUUGAAAUAAUUCUGUUGUAUAUAUGGUCAAGGAUGUGAACAAAAAUUGUCAUAUAUAUAUAUAAAAUUUCAUA